AGAUGCAUCGGUGUAGUCCACACUCCCAAACAGAAGGGGGCUCUAAGUGCCGACGCUGCGCCAAUGACGCUAGAAGAAGAAGAAGCAGCCAGAGGGAGAGGCUUUCUGACAUGGCAGAGAGGGUUUUAGUCGUUGACCUGCAUCAGGACGUCUGGAUUCAUCAUGUCACUGCUCCUCGUCUUCACUUUGACUGCAGCUUACACCUCUGUUUACACUGUGGGUUGAGGUAGUAGGUUGUAUAGUUUUAGGGUCACACCCGCACUGGGAGAUAACUAUUCAACCUACUGUCUUUCUCAAAGUGCCAAACUUGCACCUAAGUCGCCGUUGUACGGAUUAUGAUGGUCAGUUUUCUGAGAGCUGUGCUGUCAUGUGUCUGAUGAGCACAUUUCUCCCAGCUGCUCGCACGGUGUGAGGUAGUAGAUUGUAUAGUUUUAGGGUAGUGAUUUUGCCCUGUUUGGAGAUAACUAUACAAUCUAUUGCCUUCCCUAUGGAGUGGCAUCUCUACUCUUAUGAAAUAAAAAAAAAAAAUUUAAAAUGUUUUCUUCACUAAUCACAGCUGUUACCUGGUUAUCGUAUGAUGUCUCCCUCAGAGCAUUGUUUCUGGGAUAAAGUUAGUGUCUUAGCUUGUACUCUAUGUCCCUUACCAUAAAUUAAACAAUAAAUAAAUUUAUUAUUCAAAUA